ACAGUCUGAUCAUGGCUCAGGACGAACGCUGGCGGCAUGCUUAACACAUGCAAGUCGAACGAGAAAGCGUCUUCGGAAGUGAUUCAAGUGGCGCACGGGUGAGUAACGCGUAGACGAUCUGCCCUUCAGUCCGGGACAACUUUCCGAAAGGGGAGCUAAUACCGGAUAACAAUGUUCGACAUAAGUUGAAUAUUUGAAAGCUCCGGCGCUGAUGGAUGAGUCUGCGUCCCAUGGGCUUGUUGGUCCGG
rnacentral:rRNA from 1 species